CCACGAGUCACGAAAAACAAAAUUUCAUUUUCACGAUUUUUAGAAACACAGAAGCGUAAUAAAGUUUGAAACCAUUUAACGAUUUUCUAGACAGCAGAAAUCGAUGUUAUCACAAACACAUUUUACUGACUUUAACAUUAGAGCUCCUAAAUGACUAUGGAAAUCAUUGCGAGGCAUUACGAAACAUUACGAGCGUCUUAUGAUGGUUCACGAAGUCUACGAAGAGGUACGAAGG
rnacentral:lncRNA from 1 species